CCUGAGAACCCGAAAGAUCGAAUGGGGAGAUUCAUCGUCAGCGAUUCUGGUACGUGUGCGGUUCGCGAUGUCUGAGACUUCGGUCUCGCGGCACGCGUCCGCAUGUUUUUUAUUGCUGGAAUCGUCGGCGUGCACUUCUCCCCUAGUAGGACGUCGCGACCCGUUGGGUGUCGGUCUACGGCACGGUAGGUAGCCUGUCACGUGUGCGCUUCACGGCGUUACGCGGGGCAGACCUCCGUUCGCCCGACCGGCUGCCCGGCGGUACUCGCAAGGUAUCUGGCCGCAGACAUACGAACUGCGUCCGGCCCGUCGCAAGCGCGGCAAGUGUUUCCCGGCUGUACGGAUCUAAUGCCGUCACCGGGCCUUGCCAGCUGUUGGUUGACGGUGUCCUAGGACUGGCCAACAAAAAUUAUGAUACCGGUCGGCGACGCUACUGCUUUGGGUACUUUCAGGA
rnacentral:rRNA from 1 species